rnacentral:rRNA from 1 species
UGCAGUCGACGAACUUCCGUUGAUUGAUUAUGACGUACUUGUACUGAUUGAGAUUUUAACACGAAGUGAGUGGCGAACGGGUGAGUAACACGUGGGUAACCUGCCCAGAAGUAGGGGAUAACACCUGGAAACAGAUGCUAAUACCGUAUAACAGAGAAAACCGCAUGGUUUUCUUUUAAAAGAUGGCUCUGCUAUCACUUCUGGAUGGACCCGCGGCGUAUUAGCUAGUUGGUGAGGUAAAGGCUCACCAAGGCAGUGAUACGUAGCCGACCUGAGAGGGUAAUCGGCCACAUUGGGACUGAGACACGGCCCAGACUCCUACGGGAGGCAGCAGUAGGGAAUCUUCCACAAUGGACGCAAGUCUGAUGGAGCAACGCCGCGUGAGUGAAGAAGGGUUUCGGCUCGUAAAGCUCUGUUGUUAAAGAAGAACGUGGGUAAGAGUAACUGUUUACCCAGUGACGGUAUUUAACCAGAAAGCCACGGCUAACUACGUGCCAGCAGCCGCGGUAAUACGUAGGUGGCAAGCGUUAUCCGGAUUUAUUGGGCGUAAAGCGAGCGCAGGCGGUCAGACUUGAGUGCAGAAGAGGACAGUGGAACUCCAUGUGUAGCGGUGAAAUGCGUAGAUAUAUGGAAGAACACCAGUGGCGAAGGCGGCUGUCUGGUCUGCAACUGACGCUGAGGCUCGAAAGCAUGGGUAGCGAACAGGAUUAGAUACCCUGGUAGUCCAUGCCGUAAACGAUGAUUACUAAGUGUUGGAGGGUUUCCGCCCUUCAGUGCUGCAGCUAACGCAUUAAGUAAUCCGCCUGGGGAGUACGACCGCAAGGUUGAAACUCAAAAGAAUUGACGGGGGCCCGCACAAGCGGUGGAGCAUGUGGUUUAAUUCGAAGCUACGCGAAGAACCUUACCAGGUCUUGACAUCUUCUGACAGUCUAAGAGAUUAGAGGUUCCCUUCGGGGACAGAAUGACAGGUGGUGCAUGGUUGUCGUCAGCUCGUGUCGUGAGAUGUUGGGUUAAGUCCCGCAACGAGCGCAACCCUUAUUACUAGUUGCCAGCAUUAAGUUGGGCACUCUAGUGAGACUGCCGGUGACAAACCGGAGGAAGGUGGGGACGACGUCAAAUCAUCAUGCCCCUUAUGACCUGGGCUACACACGUGCUACAAUGGAUGGUACAACGAGUCGCGAGACCGCGAGGUUAAGCUAAUCUCUUAAAACCAUUCUCAGUUCGGACUGUAGGCUGCAACUCGCCUACACGAAGUCGGAAUCGCUAGUAAUCGCGGAUCAGCAUGCCGCGGUGAAUACGUUCCCGGGCCUUGUACACACCGCCCGUCACACCAUGAGAGUUUGUAACACCCAAAGCCGGUGGGGUAACCUUUUAGGAGCUAGCCGUCUAA